rnacentral:lncRNA from 1 species
GAAUUCUCUCUCUGAAACUCCUCUCAUCUUCUUCCUCAAACAUCAUCGCUGUUGAAGCUUCCGCCUAUGGAUGUUAUCAUGGUAUCAGAGUCGGCGUAGUAAAUGUCCUGUCACUGAAUAUCUUCAAUUCUCUGCAAUUUUAGCAUUGAAUCAUCUCUCUAUAACUGAGUUUAAAACUAGGGUUCUGAGAUUUGAGCUAAUUUGUUGCAAAUCAGAGCAUUUGUGCAACAAUUUUUGAGCUUAUCUACAAUCUCCAUGACAAUUGGCGAGGAAACC